rnacentral:rRNA from 1 species
UACGUAGGUCCCGAGCGUUGUCCGGAUUUAUUGGGCGUAAAGCGAGCGCAGACGGCAGUGCAAGUCUGGAGUGAAAGCCCGGGGCCCAACCCCGGGACUGCUCUGGAAACUGUACGGCUGGAGUACGGGAGGGGCAGGCGGAAUUCCUAGUGUAGCGGUGAAAUGCGUAGAUAUUAGGAGGAACACCGGCGGCGAAGGCGGCCUGCUGGACCGAAACUGACGUUGAGGCUCGAAAGCGUGGGGAGCAAACAGG